rnacentral:tRNA from 1 species
AUACUAAAUAUAUAAUUUUAUUAAAAUGGAUUCUUAGUUAAUAUAUUUCGACUCAUAAUGAA